rnacentral:lncRNA from 1 species
CCUAACCAUCGUCAUGGUGACUAUCCUGCUGAUUUCAAGACCCAUCCAGAGGACCUCCAGAAAGUAGCCUGGACAUUUCAUUUUGGCACCCGAAUGUGGGGCACUGAAAGAAGCACACUACAUUUUGAGGCUCUGAACAUAAGGACUUACACUCAGCAGUUAAACUGACAGGAUCAUAAAUUCAGUGGAGAAGUCCCUGUGACGUGGAAAUAGGUCCCACCUCCCUGAUUCUCAUACUGCAGCUUACCUGUGCCAGCAUAGGAGAUCACAAAGAGCAUCAAAAACACCAGAUACAGGAUCUUCAUGGUGACUGGAUGGCUGGAACCUGAGAAUUAUAGGAGAAGUAAGGGGAGGCCAGAUCAGGAGAGGUAAGGGCAGAAUUGAAAUAAACAACUCCUUUGAAACCGAUGCUUUCCAACAUGCUGAGAAAAAGAAGAGUCCCUUCCAAUUUGAAAUUUUUUAUGAGAGCUUCAAACCUGGAAAAUUCAUGGGUCCUGAUUAGAGUGGCUAGUACUAUUUGUCAUCUAACUUUCAGUUGUGAGUCAUGUUCUGCUAGUGAAAGCAUCAUGUCAAAAGAAAGGGAUUACUUAGAUUCACAUCCUCAGUGUUGGAAGGGUCCUCAGAUGACUUCUGUUUCAGCUCAGAUCCAAACAAUAAAACACCUCUACAAUGUCAUCAAUAAAUGGUUUUCUGGUAUUUCCUUGAAGUUGAAUAAAUAUAUUGCCUCACAUCAGACAAUCUAUU